GGCUCAAAAGAUUCAUCUCACAAAUUACAGGUAACUGUUCAAUUAGUUUUUAUUUUUAUCUAUAUUUAAUGCUUCAUGUAUGUGAUCAAAGAUUCGAUGUGACGGAAAAUCUUGAAAUUUUUUGCCAACUAAACAAGGCCUCAGUAACUAGGGAAGGUGGGGAGAACAUGGUUAGUAGGAGUAACCUCUUAAUGAUUGCUGAAUAGUAGAUGCCCAGCUAACCCAUCUACUACCAAUAAAACUCUGGCAACUGCUGGCCAUUUUGCAGAUGACUGAGCUCCAUGCUCUGUGCCGUAGGAGUUAGUUGCACAGUAUACUGUCACUUAACUGGACCACACCAACCUUUGGAGGAAGAC
rnacentral:lncRNA from 1 species